rnacentral:rRNA from 1 species
AGUGAACGCUGGCGGUAGGCCUAACACAUGCAAGUCGAGCGGCAGCACAGUAAGAGCUUGCUCUUACGGGUGGCGAGUGGCGGACGGGUGAGGAAUACAUCGGAAUCUACUUUUUCGUGGGGGAUAACGUAGGGAAACUUACGCUAAUACCGCAUACGACCUACGGGUGAAAGCAGGGGAUCUUCUGACCUUGCGCGAUUGAAUGAGCCGAUGUCGGAUUAGCUAGUUGGCGGGGUAAAGGCCCACCAAGGCGACGAUCCGUAGCUGGUCUGAGAGGAUGAUCAGCCACACUGGGACUGAGACACGGUCCAGACUCCUACGGGAGGCAGCAGUGGGGAAUAUUGGACAAUGGGCGCAAGCCUGAUCCAGCCAUACCGCGUGGGUGAAGAAGGCCUUCGGGUUGUAAAGCCCUUUUGUUGGGAAAGAAAAGCAGCAGGUUAAUACCCCGCUGUUCUGACGGUACCCAAAGAAUAAGCACCGGCUAACUUCGUG